AGAAGGAAGCAGGACGUCAAAGUCUGGAUGUCAGGAUGCAAAUGUAUGUGAGAACUCAGAAAUGGAGGGGGUCACUGACCCGUGCCACACGGAUUUCCGGAGCCUCUUCUCCUGGGCAACAGAGCAAGACCCUGUCUCAAACAACAUUAACAAGCCAGGAACUCAAUCAUUUCCAACCUUGUGAAGGGCCAAGAGGAAAAUAUUCAGGGCAAGAAAACCUUUAAGGAAGGCUUCACACCCACAUCUUCUAGUGUGGGAUCAGAAAAGCAAGUAGGCCCUGGUCCUCCCGACGUUCACAACCCUUACCUCUCAGGAUCUUCUAAGAUGAGAUGUCACAUACAGGAGGGGCCUGCACACAGAAGGCAGCCAAGAAAUGGACGAAAAAGAUUCGCGUAUUUUUUAAAGCACUAAAUGGUUAUGGUAAAAUAUUAUUUUGGAGGAAGUGUAGGGGGAGG